GUUUGAUCAUGGCUCAGAACUAACGCUGGCGGCGUGCCUAACACAUGCAAGUCGUACGAGAAAGUUGGCUUCGGCUGAUGAGUAAAGUGGCGCACGGGUGAGUAACGCGUGGAUAAUCUGCCUUUUAGUUGGGAAUAACGUACCGAAAGGUGCGCUAAUACCGGAUAAUACUGAGCAACUACUGUUGCUUAGUCAAAGAAGGCCUCUGUUUACAAGCUUUUGCUGAAAGAUGAGUCCGCGUACCAUUAGCUAGUUGGUAGGGUAAUGGCCUACCAAGGCUACGAUGGUUAGCUGGUCUGAGAGGAUGAUCAGCCACACUGGAACUGAGACACGGUCCAGGCUCCUACGGGAGGCAGCAGUGAGGAAUAUUGCGCAAUGGGGGCAACCCUGACGCAGCAACGCCGCGUGAGUGAGGAAGGUUUUCGGACCGUAAAGCUCUGUCGAGUGGGAAGAAAUGUAUCGUGGCUAAUAUCCAUGAUAUUUGACGGUACCGCUAAAGGAAGCACCGGCUAACUCCGUGCCAGCAGCCGCGGUAAUACGGGGGGUGCAAGCGUUGUUCGGAAUUAUCGGGCGUAAAGAGCGUGUAGGCGGCUGAAUAAGUCAGAUGUGAAAUCCCUGGGCUUAACCCAGGAAGUGCAUUUGAAACUAUUCAGCUUGAGUAGGGGAGAGGAAAGUGGAAUUCCUGGUGUAGAGGUGAAAUUCGUAGAUAUCAGGAGGAACACCGGUGGCGAAGGCGACUUUCUGGCCCUAUACUGACGCUGAGACGCGAGAGCGUGGGUAGCAAACAGGAUUAGAUACCCUGGUAGUCCACGCUGUAAACGAUGUUCACUAGGUGUUGGGGGUAUUGACCCUCUCAGUGCCGCAGCUAACGCAUUAAGUG
rnacentral:rRNA from 1 species